UACGUAGGACCCAAGCGUUAUCCGGAAUUACUGGGCGUAAAGAGUUGCGUAGGUGGUUUGUUAAGCGGGCAGUGAAAUCGUGUGGCUCAACCAUACACACAUUGUCUGAACUGGCAAACUUGAGUGAGAUAGAGGUAACUAGAAUUCCAAGUGUAGGAGUGAAAUCCGUAGAUAUUUGGAGGAAUACCGAUGGCGUAGGCAG
rnacentral:rRNA from 1 species